UGUGGGAGCGAGCUUGCUCGCGAAGGCGUCUGGUCAGUCAAAUCCAUUGUGACUGGCAUACCGCUUUCGCGAGCAAGCUCGCUCCCACA
rnacentral:antisense_RNA from 1 species